CUAUGCCAAUGUAUUGGCAAGGUUUUUAUGGUGCACCCAAUGGAUUACCACAAAUGCAGCAACAAUCUUUGCUUCGUCCUCCUCCUGGACUUGCCAUGCCUCCUUCCAUGCCGCAGAUGCAGUUUUCUGGUUUCAAUUCGUCUUUGCCAACUGGAGGAUCAAGCCUACAGGCGCCAAACUUCCCAGAAUACCCUUCUUCUUUGAUGCCAACAACUACUAGUUUAACCUCUAGUUCUUUACCUGCUGCUACUUUGCCUUCAACUGUGCCAUCGCUGCAACCUGUGGCACCUGUGACUGAAACAAUAUCCAGCGCAAUUUCAAAGAAAGCUUCUGUUUCUGCUAUACCCAAUUCGACAUUAAGUGCUAGUUUACCAACUUUGCCUCCUUUGUCAACAAGUCCUGAUGUAAAUCCCGUUGUUCUGCCUGUAUCUAAUAAACCUAAUCCAGUACCUAGCCCAGCUUUGUCUCAAUCGGUAUCUACCAUUGUGGAGACACCCACACCGUCGCUGAUAACUCCAGGGCAGCUGCUGCAAUCUGGACCAAUUGAUGUUCCAUCAACUCAAUCUAUGCAGACAUCUCAAAGAGAUGUAGAGGUGGAUCAAGUAGUGCCUGCACCACCUUCAGAACCUCCAGCCCCUGCUAAAACAGAAGCUCAGCCACCAAUAUUACCGUUACCAUCCCAGACACGUGUGCAGAAGACAAAUGGAGCUCCAUAUCAGCCUCGUUACGUCAACUUCAGAGGGCGUGGUGGAAGAGGAAUGGGGGUUUCUAGACCAAUAACAAAGUUCGAUGAGGAUUUUGAUUUUAUGGCCAUGAAUGAGAAGUUCAAGAAAGAUGAAGUAUGGGGUCAUCUUGGC
rnacentral:misc_RNA from 1 species